rnacentral:lncRNA from 1 species
AGGGCAAGUCAGAGUUGGUGAGAGCUGGAGAAAAGAGAGAUCCAGCUCCUCGUAGUUUAAAGGAGAGAGUCAAAGACACAGAGAGACAGAGGCACAGACAGACACAAUUCCAAAUUCUCUUCAGGUUCAAAAAAAAGAGAAAGACUCUGGGAAGAAGCUGACACAAGAGCUGCUGGUAGAGUCUCUAAUCCUAGAUUGUUACAUGUGAGACUCCUAGGAAUUUCCUGUGGGUGGAGCAUCUAGGUAUAGAAUGUCAGAACAACGUGGAUCCAAAUCUAUUCUCAGGUACUUCCUAUGAUUCUGGCAGAUUCUGACCUCAACUUAGAUCAGAAGUGGGUCUUCCAGAUGCCAGCAGUCAUGUGGGAUAAGAGGCUAUCAUCUUCCAGGUGCCAAGAAGCCAUGAAGAAUCUGGCAUCCCUCCAGAGUGGGCAUGCAUCCCCCUUAUAUUAAGUAGUUUGUUGACAAAGAAAGCAUCAACCUUUGUUCUUAAUUCAGUCAAAGAAUGGGAUUGAAUAGCUAUGUCUUUUCCCUUUUUCCUAUCUUUUCCCCUUCUUUUUCAUCUUUUUCCUUUCAAAAAUUUCUUUAAUUUUGUGGAAAAUUUCUAUAAUAUUAGUGGGGAUCAGUCUUUAUCUAGUACACUAAUACAGGAACACAUCUGAACCACUAUAAUAAAAGUGCAAGUGUCUAUGAUCUUAGUUAUUUG